AGAGUUUGAUCAGUGGCUCAGAACGAACGCUGGCGGCAUGCCUAACACAUGCAAGUCGAACGAACCCUUCGGGGUUAGUGGCGCACGGGUGCGUAACACGUGGGAAUCUGCCCUUUGCUUCGGAAUAACAGUUAGAAAUGACUGCUAAUACCGGAUGAUGUCGUAAGACCAAAGAUUUAUCGGCAAAGGAUGAGCCCGCGUAGGAUUAGGUAGUUGGUGGGGUAAAGGCCUACCAAGCCGACGAUCCUUAGCUGGUCUGAGAGGAUGAUCAGCCACACUGGGACUGAGACACGGCCCAGACUCCUACGGGAGGCAGCAGUGGGGAAUAUUGGACAAUGGGCGAAAGCCUGAUCCAGCAAUGCCGCGUGAGUGAUGAAGGCCUUCGGGUUGUAAAGCUCUUUUACCAGGGAUGAUAAUGACAGUACCUGGAGAAUAAGCUCCGGCUAACUCCGUG
rnacentral:rRNA from 1 species